AGAGGCCCUCUACAGCUGGGGUGGAACGCUUGCUUUGUCGCCGUGGCAACAAAGCAAGCAUUCCACCAGGCUGCUCAUGCUGCCCAC
rfam:Myotis davidii contig318676, whole genome shotgun sequence.